rnacentral:rRNA from 1 species
CUUAAUCCAACAUCGAGGUCGCAAACCCCCCUGCCGAUAAGAACUCUCAAGGGAGAUAACGCUGUUAUCCCUAAGGUAAUUUAAUCUUACAAUCAAAAUAAAUGGAUCAAGCAAAUAUAAAUAAAUAUAACAACACAAAGGAGGGGUUAAAUAAUAUCCCUCCCAUCACCCCAACAAAACAUAUUAAACAGCCCUAGUGAACCCUCACAAACAGAAAGAGACCGUGAAUAAAUGUUAAACUCUAUAGGGUCUUCUCGUCCCAUAAAAACAUCUAAGAAUUUUAACUCAAAGACCAAAUUCAAUAAACAAUUCAAAAUUAAGACAGCUUAUGCCUCGUCAAGCCAUUCAUACCAGAUCACAAUUAAAGAACUAAUGACUAUGCUACCUUUGCACGGUCAAAAUACCGCGGCCCUUCAACAUUCAAGGUCAGUGGGCAGGCCAUACUUCAAAAACUAA